AGCUGUCACAUUUAUGUUAAUCAGGCUGAACUUUAAUCAUACUUUACAUCAAACUGCUUUACUUGCUGCUUCCUUUGUGCUUUGGUUUCCUGUCUUCUAUUAUUAGACCUGAGACGUGACUGCUCUGUGCUGUUGCUGAUGACUCCAGUUAAUCCUACAAGACAUGCUGUAUCAUCAGAAUGAAAGUUAUUGGCCAUGUUUGCAGAGCCCUUUUUAAAAUGAUGCUUUCCUGACAUCAUUGUGUAUCGGCUGGCUAUCCAGACUGACAAGUGGGACAGUGAAUGUCACCUCUCCAGUGAGGAGGGAGCCUGAGAUUGAGAGUGUAAACUGAGGACACCAGGA